rnacentral:rRNA from 1 species
AUACGGAGGGGACAAGCGUUAUUCGGAUUUAUUGGGCGUAAAGGGCGCGUAGGCGGCUUGCUAAGUCAAAGGUGAAAUCCCUCGGCUCAACCGAGGAACUGCCUUUGAAACUGUCAGGCUAGAGUCCGGGAGAGGGUAGCGGAAUUCCCAGUGUAGCGGUGAAAUGCGUAGAUAUUGGGAGGAACACCAGUGGCGAAGGCGGCUACCUGGACCGGUACUGACGCUGAGGUGCGAAAGCGUGGGGAGCAAACAGGAUUAGAUACCCGAGUAGUCC